AUGCACGCAACCACCAAGUGUCCCUUUCCAAGAGUGCUCUGUGUUUCUCCCCGUGGUCCUCAGAUGGGCCAAUUCCAUGAUCUCUCUCCAGCUUGGUCACGUGUGCCCUCCCUCCCCCCACAGGCUCAGCAGGGAUGUGCCACCCACGGUCGAGCAUCCGCUCCUGAGAGCGUGCCUGAAGGACUACUUCUGGACAUGUGCCAUGGAUGUCGGCCAGUCCGCGUCCUGCUGGACUCAGUCGAGCAGUGCCGUCUUCUGCUUCCAGGGCCUGGCCGUCUCCUCCCUGGCAGACACCCCCAGCCAACACACCGAUCCGGAGGACGACGGGGGCGUCCAAGACGGCCUGUGUUGCUGGUAAUUCGGAAGAAUCCCGGGACUCCGUUGGAAGGGGCCAUCUGGGCAUCUCCGAUCGAGGGAAUUCAGCAAGUGCUGACUAUCCCCGUUUCCCCCAUGCACGCAACCGCCAAGUGUCCCAUUCGCAGAGUGCUCUGUGUUUCUCACCGUGGUCUGCAGAUGGGCCGAUUCCGUGAUCUCUCUCCAGCGUGGUCACGGGCAGUCAGAUGCCGGAGGUGUGCUCAUCUGUCAGCGGAUGGCGUGCGCUCUCCCGUUCUCUCUUUUUUCUGUCACCCCCCGGAGGAUGCAUGUCUGCCUCUGCCCGGUUGCCGUUCCCACUGUGGCGGCUAUUUCCUGGCCAAGACAGACAUUUGUGACCAAAGUCCGCAUCAUGCCCCAGUAGGGAGAGAAGCAGAACUUGCAGCUUCCAGAUUUCUAGGAGUCGACAGUGGUGCCAGAGCCAGGCAGGGUUCAUUUGGCAGCUGUCUGUCCAUUUUCACAUUUCGUUUUUAUUUUCUCUUUCUGUCUCUCGGAUACCAAGAUAUCUGAAACUAAGAAUAGAUAUUACUGAUUUGAAAGAAUCCACGUCACAAAAAGUACCAUUUUCACUUGAUGAAAAAAAUCUAAAACAGCAAAUCAAUUUAAAACCCAAAAAGAACAGUGAAGGGAUCCUAUGCUGAAGAUCAAGAUCACAACCACAAAGCACUCUCCAAAGUUUUUACUGCAAAGGCUGGUUUGAUGGGAAAAAUCCCAGCCCUUCAGGUUCCAAUUGUGCUGAGUCACUGAGGAGACCCACACAUGGUUAUGAGAGACCUUAACCCUUGCUGCUCUCAGUUCCCAUCGUGCACAUCAGCAGAAUCAGGAGCAACUGGCAGAAGACAACAUGACAGACCGGGCGUUCUGUGCCACCCGCUGGGCUGUGCGAGGAGCAGACAGCACUAACUAUGCAGUGCUCUUGCUGACAACGUUUAACCUGAAUUCAGUCAUGAGGUAGUCCUGAGACAAGUGCAGAAUUUAGACCACUGCACAAGACAACUGGCCUCACCUCUACAAACAAGGCAACGUCACCACAAAUGAGAUAACAAAAAGGAGAAGAGACUUUUGGAGUUCUAAACGACUAAAAAGAUUUCUUUAGUCCUUUAGAUCCAAAAGCCUCUCCUCACCUUUUGUUGUUUUUUGUGGCAGUGACAUUGCCUUGUUUGUAGAGGUCAGGACAGUUGUCUGGUUCAAUGGUCUACAUUGUGUACUGGUCUGACCACUUCCUCAUGACUAAGCUCAGGCCGACCCUCUUGCCAAGACCCCUACGUAGUUAGUGCUGGGUGCUUCCUAGUGGAGCCCACCUGGAGACCAAGAAUGUCCGGUGUGUCCACCUCUGUGACUGCCGUACUAGCAUGGGUCACGUUGUCAUGGAGGGGCCUACGAGAUCUGUUCAUUGUAAGGGCACAUUUUUUCCUUUCUGCAAUUAAUAAGUAAUUUAGUGAGUGGUACUUUGAGAGUGUGUGAACAUCCUCUUUUCUAAAGAUCUUUCUCUAAAAAUUUUACCAUCCAUUAAUGACCCCUCCUUUGUGUCAAUUAUCAUAAUCGUAUUUGUACAUUGAAAAUUUUCUAAUUUGUUCUUUCCUAUAAACUUGUAUUUGCUGGCAUUGUGCCCUGAAAAAGCACAUUACCUCCCCCUUCCAUAGCAUUAAACUUUUGUUUUGACUAUCACUGUGGACUCGUGUAUUUUUUAAAUUCAGUGUUAUAAAUCAUUAUCGUCAUGAAUCGUUGGGUGAAUACAAAUAUAAAUUAAUAUAAAUAUUCUUUCCCUUCUUCAUAUUUAUAUCCUAAACUCACCCAUAUCUUUUGGCCCAUAUUAACCAUGCACAGUACAUUGUAUUUACUAUAUUUCUUUCUCUACCUUUUUUUUUCUAGAGAACAUGUGAUUUCUCGAUUCAUUGUAACGUUUUUAUACAGAAUAUAGACUAUCUUAAUUGAUUUGCAUUGAGAAAAUGGUUCCCAUUGUACAAGCAACUCAAAAAUAAAUCAUCACUCUGCAAACUAGCUUUUCGCCA
rnacentral:lncRNA from 1 species